UCGCUUGAACCUGGGAGGUGGAGGUUGCAGUGAGCCGAGGUCGCGCCACUGCAUUCCAGCCUGGGCAACAGCAUGACACUCCCGUCUCAAAAAAUUAUAAUAAUAAUAAUUAAAUGGCACCAUAAAGAAUAAAAAGACAAGCAACAGAAUGGGACAAAAUGUUUGCGAAAGACUAGUAUUUAAAAUUACGUGAAGAACUCAUUACAAUCAAUUAGAAAAACGGACAAAACACUUGAGUACACACUUCAGGCCUGGCUGUGGAUCAAGAGUAAAUUCUGCUGCAGUGGGGAUUCUAAAGCAUCUGGGAAGAAAGGGGCUGCAGAAACAUGUGAGUCCUCCAACUACAGAAUCCAUGGAGGCAGAGACUCUGGGUGACGUGCUUGGCUUCUUGUCUCUGGCCUGGGGUCAUUGUCACUGAUGUUGGUCUUGCUGCUUCUCCUGCUGAGUGUCUUUGGCUCAGUUAUUCUUGAACCACACCAGAACUUGCACUCAACUCAGGAUAUGUUCCUGACCCUUCCUUCUUGAAGGGACAGCUGUGUAACCAUUCAACCAUCUGGCCAUCAGUUUCCACAUCUGUGAAAUCAACUUCUGCCUCAUGGAGCCGUGAGUUCCCAAGCAGUGAAGGCAGUGAGGGGCUGUGGUGUGAUCCAGGAGGCUGAGAAUUAUGCAGUGGGUGCUGUCACCUUGAAGACAUCAGCGUGAUCAGGCAGAUCAUCAUGGUACUGCAUUUCCUGGACACGAUCUUAAUUUUCUUAAUACCUCCACCGACAUUUCAAAUAGCGUC
ensembl:lncRNA ARHGEF26-AS1 ARHGEF26 antisense RNA 1